ACCAACAUGGCUCAGAGGUUAAAGCGUCUGCCUGCAAUGCGGGAGACCUGGGUUUGAUCCCUGGGUCGGGA
rnacentral:tRNA from 1 species